UCCAUUAACGAAGUUAACGAAACUAAACAAACAAGUACGAAAGGCUCAACUAAACAAACAAGUACAAAUUGAAAAAGGAGUAAGGUGCUUCCACUUUAAGGUUGGAGACCUGGUUUUUAAAAAAUCAAGCGGAAAGAAAGUAGAAAAGGUAUAGCCAUAGAACUUAUCAAACAAAUGCAUCAUACAUAUAAUAAAAAUAUAUUCACACAUUACACCAGGAUUGUAAACGCACGUAAAACAUAAUUCUCAGAUCCGGGUUGACGUCUUAUGCGUAUUGUUAUUUGAACCUGCAGCCUUAGAAAAACGUAAACAAACAGAGAUUAGCAUUACCAACAUUGUGAAACUAUGCCUGUAACCCUGACACUGGAAGAGGAAGAUGUCUCAAAACAAAUCAGUUCAUGUGAUGUCUCUAUGUUAUAGAGUAGAACAAAUUUAAAGCUACAAAUGAGGAAGUCCGAGCAGAACUGCACAACCAACAAAUGAUGUGAUGUACGAUGAGAGGUGCAAAGAUUUCUGCAGGGGAUUAUACCCUCAUACACUGCAUUCAAAUGCCAAGUUGGACUGUUUAAAUACCCACAACAAAUAUGUUAAGCCAUAUAACUGUAAAUAAUUUAAGUUUAUUAGCAACUUGUUCGCGACUUCAAACCUUUGAUAGAUCAUGUGACAAUAAAGAAUGUUUU